CUGAGUCUCUUCCCUCAGUAAGGCUUGACAGACACAGUGUUGUCCUAUUAGUUGCGCCAUGUAUCAAAUAUAGAGGAAGCCAUUAUCUAGAAAAGUUUAGGGUAGGUGAAGUUUGUGGCUGGACCUUUAAAACAAAAUUCUCUAAGUCUGUAAAGAAUCUCAGCUAAUGAGAGGUAAGAUGAAACCCAUCAGUGAUCUUCAGGUGCUGUUUUUUCCCCCAAGGUUAACAAGCACUCCAAGUGGGAUUAUGCAUCCUGGCUGUUCUCCUAGCGCUGGAUGAAAGCUGGAUCCUACAUGAGGAGCAACAAAGGGGCUGCAGAGCAGUGAUCUGUUACUCUUCUCUCACAUGUAGAUGAGUAAAAGGCUGAAGAGAACCGAAGCAGUGGAAAAUGCCACACUUUUAUUGAAGUUCAGUGACACAAAAGCUGACGAGAUGCUGAGUGAUUCAUCAAACAGCGCAGUCAGUUGGAUGUGAAGGAAUGCUGGAGAAAGUAUCAGUUACAAUAAUAAGUAGAUUAAUAAUUACAAAAAGCUUUGGUGCUCCCCUAGAGCUAGCCUGAUCCUACGCAGUGAGUGACUUAAAUAAAACAAGUGGGAG
ensembl:lncRNA